UAACACGUGGGUAACCUGCCUUAUAGUGGGGGAUAGCCUUUCGAAAGGAAGAUUAAUACCGCAUAAGAUUGUAGUAUCGCAUGAUAUAGCAAUUAAAAGGAGCAAUUCGCUAUAAGAUGGACCCGCGUCGCAUUAGCUAGUUGGUGAGGUAAUGGCUCACCAAGGCGACGAUGCGUAGCCGACCUGGGAGGGUGAUCGGCCACAUUGGGACUGAGACACGGUCCAGACUCCUACGGGAGGCAGCAUG
rnacentral:rRNA from 1 species